rnacentral:lncRNA from 1 species
GCUGGGGUUCCCUUCUGUACUGUGGAGCCUUUGUUCUUUUGCUCUUUGCAAUAAAUCUUGCUACUGCUCACUCUUUGGGUUCAUGCUGCUUUUACGAGCUGUAACACUCACCGCAAAGAUCUGCAGCUUCACUUCUGAGCCUAGCAAGACCACGAGCCCACCGGGAGGAACGAACAACUCCGGACGCGCUACCUUAAGAGCUGUAACACUCACCGUGAAGGUCGGCAGCUUCACUUCUGAGCCAGCGAGACCACGAACCCACCAGAAGGAAGAAACUCCGAACACAUCUGAACAUCAGAAGGGACAGACUCCACACGCGCCAUCUUAAGAGCUGUAACACUCACCGCGAGGGUCUGCGGCUUCAUUCUUGAAGUCAGUGAGACCAAGAACCCACCAAUUGCGGACACAAGCUCAUUUUAGAUGCCUAGUUUAGACAAAUAGUUCAGAUUCAUGUAACUUUACAGGUUAUACAGUGAUUUCAUAUAUAUUCAAUCUGCUAAAGUAUGUGUGUGUGUGUAUAUAUAUAUAUAUAUAUAUAUAUAUAUAUAUAUAUAUAAAUUUUUUUUUUUUUGAGUUGGAGUUUUGUUGUUGCCUCGGCUGGAGUGCAGUGGCAUGAUCUCGGCUCACUGCAACCUCCACCUUCUGGGUUCAAGUGAUUCUUCAGCAUCAGCCUCCCAAGUAGCUGGGAUUUCAGGCACCCGCCACUCGCCCAGCUAAUUUUUGUAUUCUUAGUAGAGAGGGUUUCACCAUGUUGGCCAGGCUGGUCUUAAACUCCUGACUUAGGGUGAUCUGCCCGCCUCAGCCUCACAAAGUGCUAGGAUUACAGGCAUGAGCCACCGCGCCUGGCCACAAUCUGCUAAAUACCAACUGGAGUUGUCAGGUCUUAGAUGCAGCAACUAGUUCAAAGUGAGAAGGACCGAAUACAGUGGCUUUCCAAGUUUUUCAGCUUUGACCUACGUAAAACAAUAAGGAGAACAGAAGCGAAAACAAUACAUGAAGAUAUGACAAAAACAUUUUGGGAGCUAAACAUCUGAUGGAAGAAGGAAAACUGACUAGGGUCCGAGGAAGUUGAAACGGUGGGAACAACAAGCGGCAGGCCAGUGUUGACUUCGUUGCCGCUGAAAGGCUUGGGACUGGGAGCAUCAAGCUUUCCAAAGUCCUGCAGACAAACCUUUGAAGUUUGAAGCCAGCUGAUGUGAACCAACUCAGCUCUCUUCUUGGAUUAGAGAUUCCCAGUUCCUCCAACAGUUUGUCCUAUGAUGAUUUUCAGCCUUCAUUUCUAGCAGUCAUCUCCUGGACAUACUACAAUUUGCCCACAAGCCUAGCAAGCCAUCCUCUGGAAGUAUUAGGAUAUUCGUGCACAGGAC